rnacentral:rRNA from 1 species
UGGGGAAUAUUGCACAAUGGGCGCAAGCCUGAUGCAGCCAUGCCGCGUGUAUGAAGAAGGCCUUCGGGUUGUAAAGUACUUUCAGCGGGGAGGAAGGGAGUAAAGUUAAUACCUUUGCUCAUUGACGUUACCCGCAGAAGAUGCACCGGCUAACUCCGUGCCAGCAGCCGCGGUAAUACGGAUGGUGCAAGCGUUAAUCGGAAUUACUGGGCGUAAAGCGCACGCAGGCGGUUUGUUAAGUCAGAUGUGAAAUCCCCGGGCUCAACCUGGGAACUGCAUCUGAGACUGGCAAGCUUAAGUCUCGUAGAGGGGGGUAGAAUUCCGGGUGUAGCGGUGAAAUGCGUAGAGAUCUGGAGGAAUACCGGUGGCGAAGGCGGCCCCCUGGACGAAGACUGACGCUCAGGUGCGAAAGCGUGGGGAGCAAACAGG